UGAUGGGAGCUUGCUCCUGGAUUAGUGGCGAACGGGUGAGUAACACGUGAGUAACCUGCCCUUAACUCUGGGAUAAGCCUGGGAAACUGGGUCUAAUACCGGAUAUGACUCCUCAUCGCAUGGUGGGGGGUGGAAAGCUUUUUUGUGGUUUUGGAUGGACUCGCGGCCUAUCAGCUUGUUGGUGAGGUAAUGGCUUACCAAGGCGACGACGGGUAGCCGGCCUGAGAGGGUGACCGGCCACACUGGGACUGAGACACGGCCCAGACUCCUACGGGAGGCAGCAGUGGGGAAUAUUGCACAAUGGGCGCAAGCCUGAUGCAGCGACGCCGCGUGAGGGAUGACGGCCUUCGGGUUGUAAACCUCUUUCAGUAGGGAAGAAGCGAAAGUGACGGUACCUGCAGAAGAAGCGCCGGCUAACUACGUGCCAGCA
rnacentral:rRNA from 1 species